rnacentral:rRNA from 1 species
ACGGGUGAGUAACACGUAUGCAAUCCACCUGUAACAGGGGGAGUAACCCGGAGAAAUCCGGACUAAUACCCCAUAAUAUGGGCGCUCCGCAUGGAGAGCCCAUUAAAGAGAGCAAUUUUGGUUACAGACGAGCAUGCGCUCCAUUAGCCAGUUGGCGGAGUAACGGCCCACCAAAGCGACGAUGGAUAGGGGUUCUGAGAGGAAGGUCCCCCACAUUGGAACUGAGACACGGUCCAA